AUUGACCUCGGAUCAGGUAGGGAUACCCGCUGAACUUAAGCAUAUCAAUAAGCGGAGGAAAAGAAACCAACAGGGAUUGCCUCAGUAACGGCGAGUGAAGCGGCAACAGCUCAAAUUUGAAAUCUGGCCCCGUCGGGGUCCGAGUUGUAAUUUGUAGAGAGUGUUUCGGGUGAGACCACGGUCUAAGUCCAUUGGAACAUGGCGUCAUAGAGGGUGAGAAUCCCGUAUGUGACUGUGGCUCGAGCCCAUGUGAAGCCUCUUCGACGAGUCGAGUUGUUUGGGAAUGCAGCUCAAAAUGGGUGGUAAAUUUCAUCUAAAGCUAAAUACUGGCUGGAGACCGAUAGCGCACAAGUAGAGUGAUCGAAAGAUGAAAAGCACUUUGGAAAGAGAGUCAAAAAGUACGUGAAAUUGUUGAAAGGGAAGCGCUUGCAACCAGACCUGUCCGUAGGUGAUCAGCCGCUGUUCUCAGUGGUGCACUCGCUCUGCGAUCAGGCCAGCAUCGGUUCCGGCGGUCGGAUAAAGGCCUUGGGAAUGUAGCUUCCUUCGGGAGUCUUAUAGCCCUCGGUGCAAUGCGGCCAGCCGGGACCGAGGACCGCGCUUCGG
rnacentral:rRNA from 1 species